GAGGGUAUAGCUCAGUGGUAAAGUAUAUGCUUAGCAUGCAUGAGGUUCUGGGUUUGAUCCCCAGCAACUCCA
rnacentral:tRNA from 1 species